rnacentral:rRNA from 1 species
UACGGAGGGUGCAAGCGUUAUCCGGAUUCACUGGGUUUAAAGGGAGCGUAGGUGGGAAUGUAAGUCAGUGGUGAAAUCUCCGUGCUUAACACGGAAACUGCCAUUGAUACUAUGUUUCUUGAAUUUUCUGGAGGUUAGCGGAAUAUGUCAUGUAGCGGUGAAAUGCUUAGAUAUGACAUAGAACACCAAUUGCGAAGGCAGCUAACUACAGGGAUAUUGACACUGAGGCUCGAAAAGCGUGGGGAUCAAACAGG